AUUAAAAAUCGUACCGUUCCCAAACUUUUGAACGGUAGUGUAUAUAUGUAUAAUGCUACACAUAAGGCCAAAAUAUAUAUUCAGUGUUUGCAAUCAACAAAAAUAAACAAAUACUAAAUGAGGAAAAAGGGACAGAGAGGAAAAUAAAAAAACACUGAUCUAGCAUAUAAGUAGUGCAAAAUAAUAAGAAGUCAAAGUUAUUGUAUCACCUGGGUAGACAGCGUCACAUAGGACCAAAAAUCUUCCCAGACAGGGAUACACACUGGGACACAUGCUCUGUUCUUAUUAUGUAGUUUGCAAAGCAAACGUUCAUACGAGGCUGUCUUUGUCAUUAUGUUGACCCAUUCUUUUAACUCUGGGGUUUUGGGAGUUUUCCAGUGUUUCAAAAUGACUCUAGUCGUCACAGAGACCUCCACCAUAAUCACUGCGAACUCUCCAUUUGAAAUAUUUGGCAUCUGCUCCCUGUCUCCCAAUAGACACAAUUUUGGUGAUAAUGGCAUUGUUGUUCCAAGCCAUAUACUCAAAAUAUUUAGAGUUUGGUGCCAUAAAGACACUCUAGAUACAGUGAAUAAAAGUACCUCUGUCUUUUUGACAUUUCCAACUAGCAUUAUUAUUUGUCAGUCCCAUUCUAUUUAGUCUAAGAGGUGUCAGAUAGAACCUGUGUAUAAUUUUGUACUGUGUAAAUUGCCCUCUGGCUUCUCUUACGUAUUUACCUGCAUUUGACAAAAUAUUUUUCCAAGGCUAAUUCAUUUUUUAAAGAAAGCAUAAAAACCAUCAAGAACAUGAAUGCAAAUGUCUUAACCUGCAAAUUAUUCAAUGCAUUUGAAGUAUUCUCCAUUUUAAUGGGAAAGCAAGGAAAGUCUAUACUAUAAGCAUGGUUUAAAAGAUUACUUUCACCCUCCCAGGCAUGCGCCUUGAGUUCUCUUCCCCUUGCGUGAACAACUACGGCAACUGGGUGUUAAAACACAUUUAAGGAAUAAAUAAAAGCAUAAACAAAAACAGCUGGAAAGUAAGUCUCCUAUGACAUCUUAGAUCCACUGUAAAGCGCUGAUUAAAUCAUAUUAGAUUCCUGUAUUAGUUAAACAGAAUCACGGUUUUAUCCUUGUGUUUAUCAUCCCAUAAUGGGACAAACAAUUUUGACCUGGAACAUACUCUACCACUACUGUUCAUUAACUUAACUACUCAUUAACAGUAUACACUACCAUACUAUAUAAAAUAUGUAUCCAGAACACAGUACUGUAUCCACAAUGCAAUGCAUGCAACUUCAUGCACCUUUCAUUUCCAGUAUGACAAAUGACACUGGAUUCACAAAAUUGGAUUAAAAUGGUAAAUCAUUUUAUGUAUUUUUAGAUGAUAUUUGGAGGCUACUUGCUGAAUUAAUGUAUUGUGAUGAGGUCAUGUGAUAAAUGUAGCUUAUUGUUGCAUAAUGCCUGUUUUCUUUUUUUUGGUAUUCAGUGUACUGUAUCCUGGGCAGCACUCAGUAAGCAUGAGUGUGAUGUAUUCUGAAAUAACUAAAGACUGAGCGAGUAAAAGUGAAGGAAUAGAUUAUACACUGAGCUGUAGAGUGAAUCUUAGGUUAUUUUUUACCUCAACAACAAUACAAGUGCCUUAAAUAUAGCUAUUGCCACUAUUGGAGUUUCCCUGAUUCACAACCUUCACAACACCAUUAAUUAUAUAAUUCUCCUGUGCACAUGCCAGAUACAAGUCACAACGGUGUCUACAAAAUGUAAAUCGACAAGAGUUAAGCAUGAUAAAUAUGAAAUAUAGCAUAGCUCUGUCCUGACAGUGUUGCUCAGCUGUUCUAAGUCAGCAGAAAAAAGGAACACCAGCUUAAGCAACUCUAAAUGUGUCUGUGUCAGGUUGUAGAAGGUGACUGUAAGGCAAGGAAGAGGGAACAAGACAAGUUCAUGGUGUCCUUAUACUGAAUAUGAAUUAAUUGAAUUAUGUACAUAUCUGUCAAGAAAAUGUCCAGGUCAUGUUUCACCCCCAAAUCAAACAAAUAAAGUAAAAAAAAAAAAAAAAAAGGACAAAAUACUGUUAAUGAAUAAUCUCAGAAGCUCAGAACCAGAAUGACAUUUGAUUCUUUUUAUAUACUAUUAUAACUCAGCUGUUAGUCCUGGAAUACAUAAAGAAUAAGAUGUACUCUGUUCAUGGAGUGUAAGUGUGAAAGAGUAAAGCAAGAUUGAUGGAUUGGUUACAGCUAAUCCCCUGUGCUGUGAAUGCUGGGCAGGGAAGAGGAUAGUCUGUCCUGAAAGAUAUUGAGUUAAAUGUCAGUGGGUCCUCGCAGGAAAACUACACACCCGCCCACUUUGCUAUGAUCAUCGAGUGCGUGUUGCUUGGACAGCAUAGAAAGCAUAGACACAUAUUAAAGACUUGUUUCACACUUAAAAUUUUGAAAAGAGCUUAUCACUGCCUUCAACACAGGGUUAUGACCUUGCUUUUGUGGGGUAAACCUCACAUUGAAGUGCCAAAGCUAUACAGUUAGAAUGUAAUGUAAUGUAGAGUUAGAAUGUAAUGAUUGUUUAGCAAAUAAAAAAAUAAAUCAAUUAAAUGAAUUGCCUCAUUAAAAAAUUGUAUGCUUUGUACACAGUAUUUGAAGGAUCCAUGCAGUAUUUGAAGGAAAAAUUUACGACAAACAGUAACAGAAAACGUGUUCAGAGGGGCGUUCAGAUGUGAUCAAAAUGAAAAGGAUUACAAUCCCAAUGCCAGAUUACAAGAGGACAAUUAUCUGUUGUUAUAUUCUGAGCUAUUUUUUUGCUUGAUUUCAAAUAGCAUGCCAUAAAUUAUGUUUUAUUAACAAAGUUCAGGAGGAGCACGUUCAGAUGAUCUACCCAAUCAGCACGAGAGGAGGUAUAUAUAUAGAGCCGACUUACCCCGGUUCAGGACACUCUUCCAGGAUCAGGAUCCCUCCUCCACCCCAACUCAUCACUCUCGAUUAUUCCUAUCCCAGCCAGAGACGGGGGGAGUAAUCUGGCUUUGGGCCAAAUUCCGAACUUGGAGCCCUCUCCUUGGACAGCACACCAACCUUCCCUCGCAUGGAGCUGAGAUGCAAGGAAAGGAGGCGAGGAAAGGAAACAAGGAUUUACAAAUCAGAAAUGAGAAGCACCCUAAAAGCUAAAAAUUAAAAGCUGAAAAAUGCUGCCUCCACAGGCAGGAGGUAGGAAGGAACAAGGCACAUCUGAAUCCAAUGAUCAUGUCACAUCCUGUCUGCUGAGUUACCUUCAGCUCAUUGAUACAUCCUUCACUGCCUUUGAUAUCCCACUAUCCUAUGCAUUUGAUUCCAUUUCAAAAAUGGUGCUUGAAUAAUGGUGCUUUAAAGUUGUGGUUGGUGGUCAGUUUGUGUGCAAAAUGUAUGUAACUUUUUCCACUUUUGAUGUUAUUUCUAGAGAGAAAUGAAUAUUGCAGUAAUUAAAUAUUUGCUUCAUUUUUAAAAAAAGCUCUCUCUAUUUUGUUGUAAAUCAUUAAACUGUUAUACUGCCUCAUAA